rnacentral:rRNA from 1 species
AGAGUUUGAUCCUGGCUCAGAACGAACGCUGGCGGCGUGGAUAAGACAUGCAAGUCGAACGCUGGUUUGAGGGUAGCAAUAUUCUCAAGUCGGAGUGGCGCAAGGGUGCGUAACACGUGGGUAAUCUGCCAUAAAGUUUGGGAUAACUCGCUGAAAGGCGAGCUAAUACCGGAUGUGAUAAUCGGGAGGCAUUUCCUGAUUAUUAAAGCUGGGGACCGCAAGCCUGGCGCUUUUUGAUGAACCCGCGGCCUAUCAGCUAGUUGGUGAGGUAACGGCCCACCAAGGCUAAGACGGGUAGCUGGUCUGAGAGGACGACCAGCCACACUGGAACUGAGACACGGUCCAGACACCUACGGGUGGCAGCAGUCGAGAAUUUUUCACAAUGGGCGCAAGCCUGAUGGAGCGACGCCGCGUGGGGGAUGAAUGGCUUCGGCCCGUAAACCCCUGUCAUUUGCGAACAAACCUUGCUAUUUAAAAGAUGGUAAGCUGAUUGUAGCGAAAGAGGAAGGGACGGCUAACUCUGUGCCAGCAGCCGCGGUAAUACAGAGGUCCCAAGCGUUGUUCGGAUUCACUGGGCGUAAAGGGUGCGUAGGUGGCGGGGUAAGUCUGAUGUGAAAUCUCCAAGCUUAACUUGGAAAUGGCAUUGGAAACUACUCUGCUCGAGGGUUGGAGGGGGGACUGGAAUACUUGGUGUAGCAGUGAAAUGCGUAGAUAUCAAGUGGAACACCAGUGGCGAAGGCGAGUCCCUGGACAACUCCUGACACUGAGGCACGAAAGCUAGGGGAGCAAACAGGAUUAGAUACCCUAGUAGUCC